rnacentral:rRNA from 1 species
CAGUAGCCACGGGAAUACGAAGGGUGCAAGCGUUAAUCGGAAUUACUGGGCGUAAAGCGUGCGUAGGCGGUGAGUUAAGUCCGCUGUGAAAGCCCGGUGCUCAACGCCGGAGGGUCGGUGGAUACUGGCAGUCUUGAAGUGGCUAGGGGGAAAUGGAAUUACCGGUGUAGCGGUGAAAUGCGUAGAUAUCGGUAGGAACACCAGUGGCGAAGGCGGUUUCCUGGAGCUAACUUGACGCUGAGACGCGAAAGCUGGGGGAGCAAACGGGAUUAGAUACCCGCGUAGUCCCUGUCUCUUAUAC